GGGUGGGGGUGCAAGGGGGUGGUUAGAGAGCUUGAGAAGCCGACAUGCAGUCCCCCAGCUCUUCCCUGGGGAGGGCCCAAGGAGUCGGUGAUAGACCCCUCCCUGAAAGAAGAAAACCUGCCCCCAUAGGAAUGCAAAAGAGAACUAUCACCAGUAGAAAAAAGAGAAGGGCCUGCUGCGAUUCAGCCUUCAAUCUCCCACCCCUUGCCAGAGCAGAGCCAGCCCUCCCCCCAACGCUCUCCCAGUCUCUCAGGCCACGAUCCUUCCUCCUUUCUCUCCUCCCUUCCUCCCAGAUUCUUUUCUGCCUUAUUCCUCAUUCUCUUGUAUUUUCUCCCACCCCUUAGUCCCUCUUCAUGCUUUCCAACCCAACUUUGAUUUUUCUCUCCCUCUAUUUUUUCUUUCUUUCUUUCUUUCUUUCUUCUUUCUUUCUUUCUUUCUUUUUUUUCCUUCCUUCCUUCCUUCCUUCCUUCCUUCUUUCCUUCUUUUUUCUUUCUUCCUUUCCUUUCCUUUCCUUUCCUUUCCUUUCCUUUCCUUCCUCCCUCUCUCCUCAGUGCUCUCCUUCUCUCCUUACCAUACAAAUGUAGCAGCUGGCAUGCCACAUUUGGAUGAAAGCUUUUGGAAAAUCUCAGCUUGCCCUCUUCUCCCCAACAUUCUCAAACCUACAGAUCCCUCUUGGCUCAGCCCCCAUUCCCUGGCACCAAUGUGUCCAAAAAUGGUCAUGAGUUGGCACAAUGGAGGUGGAGGGAAUGGGGAAGAUGCAGCAUCCAUUCGUGGAAGGAGGGUCUUAGAGGGUGGGGUUAAUGCCACCCAGAGUGGAGCAGAGAUGAAUGGAGAUUGUUACCAAAGA
rnacentral:lncRNA from 1 species